rnacentral:lncRNA from 1 species
CUCGAAUACCCUGAGUCCCAAAGAGAUAAAAUACAAUAGAAUUAAUUGACGAGACUUGAAUACAUCGGGACUACUGUAAUAGAGAGAUAAAAGGAUGCGAAAGUUGCAAUCUUUUGACGGGAACAAGAAAACCCAAAAAGUCCAUACCUGCAGCAGUAAUAUGCAAUUCUCUGAACCUCCAAUUCCUAACUUCAGAUCUGGAGCCUUCGGAACGCGAACUAAUUCCGAAUUUUCAGAACAAGAAACUCUGCUGAGCAGUCAUAGAUGCGAAUCACGCACGAGCGCAGGGCAUGGAGGGCUUAAGCUGCUCGAUCAGCGGACAUGCUUGUCUAUCCAGCCAUGGCCUGCUGAGCUUUUGGAGGUGGUGAGGAAGCGGUGAGAGGGUUGGAGAAAUGCGGCGGCGUUGCGAG